CAGCAGCCGCGGGAAUACGGAGGGGGCUAGCGUUGUUCGGAAUUACUGGGCGUAAAGCGCACGUAGGCGGCUUGGUAAGUUAGAGGUGAAAGCCCGGAGCUCAACUCCGGAAUUGCCUUUAAGACUGCCGAGCUAGCAGGUGAGAGAGGUAAGUGGAAUUCCGAGUGUAGAGGUGAAAUUCGUAGAUAUUCGGAAGAACACCAGUGGCGAAGGCGGCUUACUGGCUCAUACUGGACGCUGAGGUGCGAAAGCGUGGGGAGCAAACAGGAUUAGAUACCCGCGUAGUCCCUGUCUCUUAUAC
rnacentral:rRNA from 1 species